AACGGUGGCUAAUACCGCAUAACGUCGCAAGACCAAAGAGGGGGACCUUCGGGCCUCUUGCCAUCAGAUGUGCCCAGAUGGGAUUAGCUUGUUGGUGAGGUAACGGCUCACCAAGGCGACGAUCCCUAGCUGGUCUGAGAGGAUGACCAGCCACACUGGAACUGAGACACGGUCCAGACUCCUACGGGAGGCAGCAGUGGGGAAUAUUGCACAAUGGGCGCAAGCCUGAUGCAGCCAUGCCGCGUGUAUGAAGAAGGCCUUCGGGUUGUAAAGUACUUUCAGCGGGGAGGAAGGUGUUGUGGUUAAUAACCGCAGCAAUUGACGUUACCCGCAGAAGAAGCACCGGCUAACUCCGUGCCAGCAGCCGCGGUAAUACGGAGGGUGCAAGCGUUAAUCGGAAUUACUGGGCGUAAAGCGCACGCAGGCGGUCUGUCAAGUCGGAUGUGAAAUCCCCGGGCUCAACCUGGGAACUGCAUUCGAAACUGGCAGGCUUGAGUCUUGUAGAGGGGGGUAGAAUUCCAGGUGUAGCGGUGAAAUGCGUAGAGAUCUGGAGGA
rnacentral:rRNA from 1 species